GCUCAGAUUGAACGCUGGCGGCAUGCCUUACACAUGCAAGUCGAAAGGCAGCACGGGAGCAAUCCUGGUGGCGAGUGGCGAACGGGUGAGUAAUACAUCGGAACGUGCCCAAUCGUGGGGGAUAACGCAGCGAAAGCUGUGCUAAUACCGCAUAAGAUCUACGGAUGAAAGCAGGGGAUCGCAAGACCUUGCGCGAAUGGAGCGGCCGAUGGCAGAUUAGGUAGUUGGUGAGGUAAAGGCUCACCAAGCCUUCGAUCUGUAGCUGGUCUGAGAGGACGACCAGCCACACUGGGACUGAGACACGGCCCAGACUCCUACGGGAGGCAGCAGUGGGGAAUUUUGGACAAUGGGCGCAAGCCUGAUCCAGCCAUGCCGCGUGCAGGAUGAAGGCCUUCGGGUUGUAAACUGCUUUUGUACGGAACGAAACGGUCCCUUCUAAUACAGGGGGCUAAUGACGGUACCGUAAGAAUAAGCACCGGCUAA
rnacentral:rRNA from 1 species